UAUAUUUUCUUGAUCAGGGUCAAUAGCCGAGUCGAUCUGGCCGUGCCCGUCCGCCUGUCCGUCUGUUUGGCCUUAUAAACGUCGAGAUCUCAGGAGCUUUAAGAGCUAGAACUCAACCUUCUAUUAAGCAUACAGAUCUGCCAAAGGAAUGAAUGAGAGCGCCAGGCCAAACGUACCCCAAAUAACGGAAACGAUUUCAAGGCCGCGGAGAGGAUCAUUUUUGAAGAAACACAGAAAAUCGAUUACAAUGAAGUAGGAGCAUCAUUUGACCAAAUUUAUUGAAAAUUCAACGCUGGGUUUAUGAAUAUGUACCAGACCUAGCUCGACGAAGGAAUUGGUUUACCAAUCGACCACCCCUAUCGGUCGCUGACGUAGUCUUGAUCAUAGAAAAUGCCACAUAACUGCUGGCCCAAGGACAUGGUCGAGAAUGUCAUUCUAGCGAAUUAUGGCCUUGUACAUUCAGGGGACCAAACGUAGAUGGCGGCCUCAAACAUUCUUACCCCCAUAGAUAACGCUGCCGACACCAGCUGCCACAAGCGCUACAAACAGCCUCUACAAAAUCAGACUGCCUCAUGUCUUUGGCGUGGUAUCUCCCUACGAAUCGACCUGGUAAAUCUUCUAAAUCGUAGUACGAAUUCCCAAACUUUCUCCGGACCCGAACUUUCAGGUAAUUCGGACCCCAUUUGGCAUUAUACCUCGCUUGAAAAUUACUCUGCCUGUAAUUCUUACGAAACACUUCCUGGCCCACAUUAUAAGAUAUUACUCUGGAUAAGAGGUUGUAAAGCCGCUGAUUCUUAUCAUUUUGAUUUUUCAUUACUUCCACGACCUUAUUGCUCACUAACUCCAAGGAACCCUCCCUAGCGAAAACCAAGGACCGAUCUUGAAUCAACCCCUAAGCUCCUAACAAUUUAUAUGUAGAUCCUGAGCCCGCGAAGUGCUGCCCGAACACCAUAUAAUAUGGAGUAGUUCCCAAACUAGAAAGCACCGCGUAUCUCAACGCACAGCAAAUACAACUCAGCUCUUCGUUCCAAUUUUUCUGAUCUGGCUUGACGUACGACCGGAUCGCCGCUAAUACCGACCUAUUUACCCUUUCAGAAGCAUUCGACUGCGGUGAAUAUACCGCCGUGAGGUUGUGACGCAUCCUGUAAUCCCGAAGGAAUUUCUGGAACGUGUCAGACUUGAACUGAGAACCGUUAUCCGACACAACCGUUUCAGGCACCCCGAACGUAUGGAACAAAUCCUGUUGCAAAUACAUUGGCCGUAAGCUUCUUCACUGUCUUGAGUAAAACGAACUUCGAAUAAUGGUCAAAUACAGAAAUUUACCAAUGUCGAUUUUCGAACGCGGAUAAGGACCCAAAACGUCUAUGUAUAUUUUUUGGAGGAACCUUUCUGACUCCGGUGGCACACCAAUAGGUGUUCUGAAUUAGACGCCAUAGGAUUUAACAUCUUUUACCAAUCCUGGCCAAUAAUAAUAUCUUCAAACUCGUUCUAAGGUCUUGUGUAUUCCGUGUGAACUUAUUGGAUGUUAAUGGGCAUUUUUUAAAACACUCUGGACUAAGCCCUCUGGGAUCCACAACUUCCAGACAAACUGAUCAUGCAAACAAUCACCGGUGACUUGAUCCAUUCUCCUAUCAACUAAUUUAAUAUCUGGCAACAAGUUGUUGUUCGCCUUCAACCGUUCAACCAAUUCCUUGUACUUGUCGGACUUGAACUCUGACGAAUCCAAAUCGACUAUCAAGCCUUGGCUGGAAUCUAACGCGGCUACAAUCUCCUCAUUUACCCGAGAUAACGCGUCUGGCACAACAUUCUUUUCUUUUGUUGAUCAUCCUUUUGUACCCCACCUCGUAGCUCUGUGGCAACACAACGUGGCCGUCUUUCAGAGUAAUCCCGUCUGGUAGCGACGCCCUACUCCCUUUGUGCCCGCACAUCGUCGCUGGCUGCGACUUGUGGCGGUGGCUUCACUCUAAAGUUCUCCAUGUCGAAGUAGUCUUCUACCAACUGUUAUCUGCAGACUCAUCACCCUCCGACAAGCUCCGUACAGCGUAACGGACAGUCAACGCAGCUUAAAUUUCUUUGAGUGGGUGCUUCCGCUUUACGCCGAGCCCUUCACUCUAGGUUGUUUCUGCUAACUGUUCGCUGCUGGUUUCCUUCUUGGUCCUUUGGCUGCGUCUGAAAAUUGCUGAUUGCUGAUUCCCUCCGUAGCGUCUCAAACCGUAGCUGCUCCGCCUUCGCUGACUGCAAGAUAGCCGCCAGGCUGCUCACUCGAGUCGCGAAGGGAAUGAUCUUCGCCAAAUUGUGCUCCAAGAUCGGCAGAGCCUAAAGGAUGAAUUAGUAGCAUCUUCCCUUUCUCGAGGGCUUCAUCCUUCAACAACCUCGGGUUGUUCUCCAAUUCUCCAAUUGUACUCUCUGGUCGUCUCCACGAACGCACAGGUGAAGAUCCGGAAGAUUUCGUGGCCCAUAUGCUCCCUGUAUUCCAUUCGGCGUUAUCGCGGCGUAGGAUACAAUAAGUGGCGAUGCUGUUGCCACAUUGUGGACGCUUACGCCCGGUAAAACUAAUCCAUGCGCUGGCAGCACAAUGCUUGUUGCACACAGUGAGUCCUGCGUUGAUGUGGCAGUCCUGAGACAGAUUGUUGUUGCAUCUUACUCCAAAGGUGCGUUUGUAGAGGUACGUCUCCAACAGCUUAUGCCCCGAAAUACGGCAGCACUUGUUUAAUUUUGAACAUAAGUCCGUCGAGCCUUACUCUGUAAAAAGUCUUAGCUACGACCAGAUAUGUGUAGUGCUGACCAAUACACUUAAUUUCAAAGGCACUGCGUAUUUCUGUAAUAAUAACCAGGUUCCGUGUUUUUAUCGAAAACUAAAUUGGCGCGAUGGAAUUAUAUUGCGCUGCAUGAGACGUCAAUAGAAGAGUAAAUUCUAAGAGUUUCGAAAGGCUGUUAGUAAAUUGGUUGUCUUUUUCCACCGCAUAUUUUUGUGUAUUAUGCAAUACGCACAGACAUUACGGUGGUAAAACACCGCAAGAGCAUAUUAUGCGGUGUGAGUAAUCCAGCCACCACUUCUUAAGCGAGUAUAUUUGUAGUGCUCAAAUCAGGCAUCGGUGCUAAUCUCUGGUAUCCAGGAAUGUAGAAAAUGUUAUUAUUUAUUAGAUGCAUUUCACAUAUCAAUAUUGUUGAGGCAAUGAGCUUUUUCAUUGACUUUAAGAAGUGGUGUGGCAAUUUAUAGACACUGUAAAGUUAAUGUUUCAAUUAAUAUUUCAGUUUUAUUUCAAUAUAUUUUGCCACACAGGGCUGUAGAGUAUAAAACGAACAGCGGCAGUGCCUGUAUCGAACCUAUUAAGAGUUAAAGUACAUCACAGCAGUACCGAUGCGAUCAACACUUAUUUUGUAACUGAGCUUGCUAUGCAGAAGGCAAAUGAGAAAGCUUCACAGAAUAAAGAUUAUGACAGCUGUGCUCGCUCUCUAUUGAGAGAGAUGAACAUAGCACAAAGGGGAAUGCAAAAUCUAUUGCUGCACAAAGCAAUGUACAAGAGUGAUAUAAUAAAUAACAUAACUGCAUAACCAAACAUCCUCACCCCGUUGGAGGUACAACAUCAUCCUGUUUGAGUAGAACUCAAGGUUUAGUGACGACUCUAUUGAAGAUUCCAGUGGCAGUUUUGAGAACGCUAUCGGGUCCAGGAUUUAUUACUCGAGCUAGUGGCUAUUUGAGGGUUGGCAGGUUUCCGUCUUUUACUAAAACGACAUCAUCGAUUUGAACGUCUGUUUUCUGUGCUCGCCGUUUGCAACGUUGUUGAAGAAGCGUUAGAUAUUCACGUCUCCACCUGCUCCAGAAUAUUUGCUGGUAGUAGGUGAUUGGCUGUCAGCGAUCCAAUCGGUUGAGAUUUAAUUUUUUUAGGUCAGGCUCAGCAAACAAGGCGAGGGGGCCGUGCCUAAGAAGUGCCCUAGCCUCGUCAAGGUGUUUUAAAAGAGAAACUAAAGGUCUUGAAUUAAUUAGGGCCGCAAUGUGGCAAAAGAGGGUGCGCAGGUCAUCAGCAGGAAAAACGGCAGGUCCAACAGCUCGGUAAAAAUAUGGAUAUUAAUGGAUUAAUGGCUUCAGUCUGCCACCAACUCUCAUGAGUCCAGAGUUGUCAAUGAUGGGUACGAGGGAUGCAAUUCAGCUCGAUGAUUUUACUUGUCGACUGUUGAGCAGGGCAUUAUAGUCCUCGGUAAGGUGUGCCAUCUCAUGCCUCCGGUGAGAUGAUUAACAGUCAGGCCGGGGUGCCUGAUACGAUAACGAAAUUUAAAGAUGUAUACAAAAACAUGUUCCAAUUUUUGCCAGGAGUUGACAAAUUUACAACUGGGAUGUCGAUGUCGGCAGGGGUCUUGAGAUUGAUGAGGGCCUUCUUCCUUAGCUCAGGGAGAACCUUUGGAGCGAGACCAGACUCUGGCCAGUGCGAUUUGUCUUCUUGAAGAUAGUCAGGACCAUGAGACCAAAGACUGGACUCGAUGAGCUCACUAGGAAGUGCCCUCAGGAAAGUAUGUCCGAUGGAUUGCAGGCUGUAGGAUCAUAAUGCCAUUCUAUGGCAUUUGACAGCUCCUGGACUAAAGAGAUGCGAUUAGAAAUAAAAGUUUGAAAGCGUGAAGGCUCAUCUCGUAUCCCGGAAGCACCACAGCAGAAUCUGGCCUGUAAUAAUCAGGGAUCCUCAGGUAUGGUGGAGGAUCGCGUAAUGCCCGCCCUGCCUUGGCCAUUUUUUACCAAAAAUCUCAAACAGGGAAUCACAGGGAGAACAUCCCAGUUAUAGGCAAACAAGUUAGUUUUUCAAAACAUUAUAAAAAGUGUAUAUUAUCAUAAAUAAAAUUUCUUACAGCUAUCAUA